AGUGGGAUAGUUGGGUCAAAUGGUAGUUCCAUUCCAAGUUUUCUAAGAAAUCUCCAUACUGCUUUCCAAAGCGUGUUACACCAAUUUGCAGGGCCACCAGCAAU
rnacentral:pre_miRNA from 1 species